rnacentral:snRNA from 13 species
AGACAUCGGCGCUGGGUUCAGGGUGAUCAGGAAUGCUCUGACCCCGGGUGGAGACUCACCAUUGCACUUCGGUGGGUUGAAAAAAUUAGCCCCCAAAUGCUCUGGUGCAGCCGAGAGUGGGGAGAGUCUGCUCUCCCUCUCG